UUCGGUGUUUCGUAGUUCUGGUGAGCUGGGAUGGGUUCGCCUGCGAAGGAGUCCGCUUUCGCCUCCACCUCCGAAGCUGCGGCGCCUCAAGAACUGCAGCUGAUGCCACGAAGAUCGAACCUGUCUCCACCAACUCCGCACGUGCAGCCUCCGGUGUGGGCGCCGGAAACCGCAGCGGCAGCGGCAGCCAAGGGGAGGGCAGUGCCUCCUGUCUUCCUGCGGGCCCAGAUGACGCCUUAUCCGGCUCCUACAAUCCAGGAGAGGCCUCUGCCGCAGGAGGAGGAGGAGAGGAACGAGAGUCCCGCAAGCAAAGCAGAGGGAUCUCAAGAGAAAUCUGGACGUGUUGACAGAAAAUCCUCUGCGUCUGGAAAGAAUUCUAACUCUAGCUACGUUGAUCACGAUGAAUGGAAGGGCUUCUUGUCAUCUAGAAAGAGAAGAUACGAAGACAUAGUCACCAAGGGUGAAGCUUUACAUCUGGUAACUGCUGAUCAACAUAAUGGUGUCGACAUCGAAGCAUCUGAUGUUAGAGGGGAGCAUUCUGUCAAAACGCUGUCAGUUUCACCAGAAUCACUACUGCUAAGGGCAUUGCCACCUGGUUCUGAAACUGAAUUGAACACAGAGAUCGACCAAUGUAGUUAUCCAUCACCACUGCUAGGAAAUGACCCGGUUGCACAUAAACAACAGCGGUUGCAGGAUGACGACGAAUUCAGGGAGAGAAGAAAACAGGCAAAUAGGGAGUCAGCAAGAAGGUCAAGAAUACGUAAAAGGCAAGAAUACGAGGACUCAGCAAGGAUGAUGGCCGUAUUGAAAAAUGAGAAUGAUGUACUCAAAGCAAAGAAUGAAAUUCUCAUGAAAAGGAUCAAGGAUUUAGAAGCUGGAAGCAUAAGAAUCAUGGAGAUAUUGAGCGGACUUUACUGGCCUGCUGAUACGUUGGAUGCACUGGGCAUCAGACCGUCGUAGAAGUUUUCAAGACACGACAAUCCUGAAUGUGCUUCUAGGUGAAUACAUUCCUGUUGCUUGGACCCUGCAAGCUUGAACCCCUGACACUUGCUUACUGAUGAAGUUAGUCAGGAGAGGACUCUGAACCAAGAUGGGUAAAGAUAAUUCAAGAAGAUGCCAAGCUGCUGCUUGUGAGAAGGCAAAAGACAUGCAAACCGAUUGAUGUUUAAUGGUCCAAUGAUACACAGAUGUGAAAUGUAUAGUUAUUUUUUGUUUUAGUUUUAUUUGAUAUACGAUACCGUAUCGAUCUAAUAGAUUAUCAAAACCAGUUCUCGAUUGAUGAUUACAUCUUUGGUCAGCAAUACGAGUAGAUACUUCAACUUU